AUCAUUCUUGUCUGGGAGAGCAAAAUGCCCAAUGAACGUCUAGUGAGGGCAUUGCUGCUAACACCCCCCCAUCAUUCUUUGAAUAA